UAGAGUCGGGAUCGUGAGGCAGAACACGGGAAUUCAGUUUGACGACGAGACGACGAGACAGCGAAUACAAUUCAAUUCAGUUCGGAGUUUAAUACAAGCGAAUAUUUCAUGCGCCAUAGUGUCUUAUAGUUUAGUUGUGGCGACACGAGAUUUAAUUUACGUUUACUGCGCAACAAUUAGAGACUGGAAAUAUUACUCUGUCAAAUGGAUAUCAGAAAAUUAUUUGAAAUAGGGACAACACGCAAAAAAAGAAAAAAAAAGCGAUGAAAAUGACAACCAUGAUAAAACUACUCAUGUAAUGCCAAGAUCAUGCUAACAUUGGACAAGCGUCACAUUCUCCAGCAGAACCUCUAAAUAUAAUCUUCACCUAAUAGCAACAAAUCCUACAAAAAAUUUUCUUAAAAAUGUUCCUGUAGACAUCCAACUGCAAAGUGGACACCAAAAAGCAAUCGAUGACAACAACAAAUAUUGUCAUCAAUUAUUUCUUGUAUGGUAUUUUGCGGUACACAUGAUAUGCCUCUUAGGGGAAAACAAACAGAUGAGGGUGUUUUAUUAGAUUUAUUGAAGUUGAGAAUCAAUUCAGGGGACGACAAAUUAAAGAGUCACCUGGAAAAGUGCCGUUGCAAUGCAGCUCGCUGCUUAAAAUUAUACUAAAUAUGUUCACAAUAACAUAAUCUUACACGUGGAGCAGAAAUCGCAGGAUUAACGUGUUGCACUUAUUCCCUACCUUGCGCUGUAUACUAUUUUCCUCGCUCAUAUGUUAUACUUAUUGCUUAUUCGAAAAAACAUCAAAAUAAAUCAUUUGGCUUAAUUCA